rnacentral:rRNA from 1 species
CACGUAGUUAGCCGGGGCUUCUUAGUCAGGUACUGUCAAUUUCUUCCCUGCUGAUAGAGCUUUACAUACCGAAAUACUUCUUCACUCACGCGGCGUUGCUGCAUCAGGGUUUCCCCCAUUGUGCAAUAUUCCCCACUGCUGCCUCCCGUAGGAGUUUGGGCCGUGUCUCAGUCCCAAUGUGGCCGAUCACCCUCUCAGGUCGGCUACUGAUCGUCGCCUUGGUGAGCCGUUACCUCACCAACCAGCUAAUCAGACGCGGGUCCAUCUUACACCGAUACAAUCUUUUCCGUCAGAGUCAUGCGACCCCAGCGGGUUAUGCGGUAUUAGCAGCCAUUUCUAACUGUUAUCCCCCUGUGUAAGGCAGGUUCCCCACGCGUUACUCACCCGUCCGCCGCUCAGUCAAACUGUCUUCAAUCCGAAGAAAUCAGACAGAGUGCUUCGCUCGACUUGCAUGUGUUAAGCACGCCGCCAGCGUUCAUCCUGAGCCAGGA